ensembl:snRNA U6 U6 spliceosomal RNA
UCACUUUAGCAGCACACAUACUAAACUUGUAAUAAUGCUGAGACAGCAUGGAUCCUGUGGAAAGACGACAUGAAAAAAUAAGUAUUCCAUAUUUUU